rnacentral:pre_miRNA from 1 species
UUUUGAGGGGUGGAGCUCCUUUUAGUCCAAAUAUGGAUCUGGCUUUGUUGAUAGAGCUGCUUUGCUAUGGAUCCCUCAAUUCUACCCAUUUUGUGCUGUGUGGUAGUCUUGUGGCUUCCAUAUCUAGGGAGCUUUAUCACCUGUAGGCUUAUCUUUCUUUGGAUUGAAGGGAGCUCUACACCUUACAUAU